UACAGAGGUGGCGAGCGUUAAUCGGAAUUACUGGGCGUAAAGCGUGCGUAGACGGUAGCGUAAGUCAGAUGUGAAAGCCCCGGGCUCAACCUGGGAACUGCAUUUGAGACUGCUCUGCUCGGGUGCGGAAGAGGGAAGCGGGAAUUUCCGGUGUAGCGGUGAAAUGCGUAGAUAUCGGAAGGAACACCAGUGGCGAAAGCGGCUUCCUGGUCCGACACCGACGUUCAGGCACGAAAGCGUGGGGAGCAAACAGG
rnacentral:rRNA from 1 species